UACGGAGGGUGCGAGCGUUGUCCGGAAUCACUGGGCGUAAAGGGCGCGUAGGUGGCCCGUUAAGUGGCUGGUGAAAUCCCGCGGCUCAACUGCGGGGCUGCCGGUCAUACUGGCGAGCUAGAGCACGGUAGGGGCAGAUGGAAUUCCCGGUGUAGCGGUGAAAUGCGCAGAUAUCAGGAGGAACACCGGUGGCGAAGGCGGGACUCUGGGCCGAUACUGACGCUGAGGAGCGAAAGCGUGGGGAGCAAACAGG
rnacentral:rRNA from 1 species